rnacentral:tRNA from 2 species
GCAUCCGUAGCUCAAUUGGUAGAGCAGCUGGCUCUUAACCAGCGGGUUGCCGGUUCGAGUCCGGCCGGGUGUA